AAGGAGUGCAGCAGUUGCGCGAGUAGUUCGGGUGUGGAAACCCGGCGAUGCACAAUGAAGGUGAAGGUGGGACGUGUGGCCCGCCGAGGCGAGAGCCGCUAGCGCGGCGCAUCGUCGACCGAUCCGUUGCCACGCCGUGGCGGGAUUCGAGUGAGAGCGUUGCUGUUGCGACCCGAAAGAUGGUGAACUAUGCCCGAGUAGGGCGAAGCCAGAGGAAACUCUGGUGGAAGCCCGUAGCGGUUCUGACGUGCAAAUCGAUCGUCAAACUUGGGUAUAGGGGCGAAAGACUAAUCGAACCAUCUAGUAGCUGGUUCCCUCCGAAGUUUCCCUCAGGAUAGCUGGAGCCCGUUGCGCAGUUUUAUCAGGUAAAGCGAAUGAUUAGAGGUCUUGGGGUCGAAACGACCUCAACCUAUUCUCAAACUUUAAAUGGGUAAGACGUCCGGCUUGCUCGAGCGAAGUCGGGCCACGAAUGCCGGGGCUCCCAGUGGGCCAUUUUUGGUAAGCAGAACUGGCGAUGCGGGAUGAACCGAACGCCGGGUUAAGGUGCCCGAAUCGACGCUCAUCAGAUCCCACGAAAGGUGUUGGUUGAUCUAGACAGCAGGACGGUGGCCAUGGAAGUCGGAAUCCGCUAAGGAGUGUGUAACAACUCACCUGCCGAAUCAACUAGCCCUGAAAAUGGAUGGCGCUGAAGCGUCGUACCCAGACCCGGCCGUCGGGCCGCGCGGUACGGUCCGACGAGUAGGAGGGCGCGGCGGUGGCGGUGCAGCUUCGGGCGCGAGCCCGGGUGAAGCCUCCGCCGGUGCAGAUCUUGGUGGUAGUAGCAACUAUUCAAACGAGAUCUUUGAAGACUGAAGUGGAGUAGGGUUCCAUGUGACCAGCACUUGGACAUGGGUUAGUCGAUCCUAAGGGGAGGGAGAGUUCCCCGUGGAAGGUGCAAUCGCCUCUCGGCGACCGCACCGUUUUCCCCGAAAGGGAGUCGGGUCAACAUUCCCGAACCGGGAUGCGGGUAGGCCCUCGCGGCCACGGCGGCAACGCAAGCGAACUCGGAGACGUCGGCGGGAGCCCCGGGAAGAGUUCUCUUUUCUUCUUAACGGGCCCGUCCCCUGGAAUCAGGUUGGCUGGAGAUAGGGCGUUGCGCCCGGUAAAGCGUCACACUUGUGGUGGCGUCCGGUGCGCUCCCGACGGCCCGUGAAAAUCCGAGGGAGCGUCUGAUCCUCGCGCCCGGUCGUACCGAUAUCCGCAUCAGGUCUCCAAGGUGAACAGCCUCU
rnacentral:rRNA from 1 species